GGAGGAUAUUCCGAUCGGUUAAGGAACGUGUUUGCUAAACACGGAUCGCGAAAGCGGUCGGUGGGUUCGACUCCCACAUCCUCCG
rnacentral:tRNA from 1 species